rnacentral:rRNA from 1 species
CUGGGCUCAGGAUGAACGCUGGCGGCGUGCUUAACACAUGCAAGUCGAACGGGAAUCAGAUGAAAGCUUGCUUUGACUGAUUCUAGUGGCGGACGGGUGAGUAACGCGUAGGGAACCUGCCCCAUACCGGGGGACAACAGUUGGAAACGACUGCUAAUACCGCAUACCCAUGGAUGAUCGCAUGAUCGCCCAUGGAAAACUCCGGUGGUAUGGGAUGGCCCUGCGUCUGAUUAGGCAGUUGGCGGGGUAACGGCCCACCAAACCGACGAUCAGUAGCCGGCCUGAGAGGGCAACCGGCCACAUUGGGACUGAGACACGGCCCAAACUCCUACGGGAGGCAGCAGUGGGGAAUAUUGCACAAUGGGGGAAACCCUGAUGCCAGCGACGCCGCGUGAGUGAAGAAGUAUUUCGGUAUGUAAAGCUCUAUCAGCAGGGAAGAAAUUGACGGUACCUGACUAAGAAGCCCCGGCUAACUACGUGCCAGCCGCCGC